rnacentral:rRNA from 1 species
GACGAACGCUGGCGGCGUGCUUAACACAUGCAAGUCGAACGGAAAGGCCCUGCUUUUGUGGGGUGCUCGAGUGGCGAACGGGUGAGUAACACGUGAGUAACCUGCCCUUGACUUUGGGAUAACUUCAGGAAACUGGGGCUAAUACCGGAUAGGAGCUCCUGCUGCAUGGUGGGGGUUGGAAAGUUUCGGCGGUUGGGGAUGGACUCGCGGCUUAUCAACUUGUUGGUGGGGUAGUGGCUUACCAAGGCUUUGACGGGUAGCCGGCCUGAGAGGGUGACCGGCCACAUUGGGACUGAGAUACGGCCCAGACUCCUACGGGAGGCAGCAGUGGGGAAUAGUGCACAAUGGGCGGAAGCCUGAUGCAGCAACGCCGCGUGCGGGAUGACGGCCUUCGGGCUGUAAACCGCUUUCGCCUGUGACGAAGCGUGAGUGACGGUAAUGGGUAAAGAAGCACCGGCUAACUACG